GUUAGAGCUUUGCUGCAGGAUACGCCCUCUACAAGCCAAGGAAGUAAAAGUAAAGAUUCACAUGUCAUUGGAGUAAAGAACCAUGAUCGGAUCGCCAACUGAGAAGACUUUUGCACAAAAUGAAAUUGUUUAGAAGGAGUAAUGACCGCCCCAAAAAUGAAAUUUUUGCUGCAGUUGAGAGUGAAUUAAAAAAGUGGCCCCCCAA